AUACGAAGGUCCCAAGCGUUAUUCGGAAUCACUGGGCGUAAAGAGUACGUAGGCGGUUUGGUAAGUCAGGUGUGAAAUCCCGGAGCUCAACUCCGGAACUGCAUCCGAUACUGCCAGACUUGAGUAAUGGAGAGGCAGGUGGAAUUCUCGGUGUAACAGUGAAAUGCGUGGAUAUCGAGAGGAAGACCAAUGGCGAAGGCAGCCUGCUGGACAUUUACUGACGCUGAGGUACGAAGGCUAGGGGAGCGAAAGGGAUUAGAAACCCCGGUAGUCC
rnacentral:rRNA from 1 species